UAACCCUCAAGCCUGGCUUGGUAUUGGGGCCUGCUGUUACUGGCAGUCCUUAAAAUCAGUGGCGGUGUCAUCUGGCUCUAAGCGUAGUAAUACUUCUCGCUACAGGGCCUGGUAGAUGCCUGCCAUCAACCCCUAAUUUUCUAU
rnacentral:misc_RNA from 1 species